rnacentral:rRNA from 1 species
UACGUAGGGGGCUAGCGUUGUCCGGAAUCAUUGGGCGUAAAGAGCGUGUAGGCGGCCCGGUAAGUCCGCUGUGAAAGUCGGGGGGCUCAACCCUCGAAUGCCGGUGGAUACUGUCGGGCUAGAGUGCGGAAGAGGCGAGUGGAAUUCCUGGUGUAGCGGUGAAAUGCGCAGAUAUCAGGAGGAACACCGAUUGCGAAGGCAGCUCGCUGGGACGUCACUGACGCUGAGACGCGAAAGCGUGGGGGAGCAAACAGG